GACGAACGCUGGCGGCGUGCUUAACACAUGCAAGUCGAACGAAGUGGCGAACGGGUGAGUAAUACGGGGGUAACCUGCCCUCCUUUUUUGGAUAAGCCUUGGAAACGGGGUCUAAUACCGAAUAAAGGGGGAUGGGCUCGCGGCCUAUCAGCUGGUUGGUGGGGUGAUGGCCUACCAAGGCGGUGACGGGUAGCCGGCCUGAGAGGGUGACCGGCCAAAUUGGGACUGAGACACGGUCCAAACUCCUUCGGGAGGCAGCAGUAGGGAAUAGUGCGCAAUCGGGGAGACCCUGACGCAGCAACGCCGCGUGGAGGAUGACACUUUUCGGAGCGUAUACUCCUUUUGCGUUACCUACCGAAUAAGCACCGGCUAACUCCGUGCCAGCAGCCGCGGUAAUUC
rnacentral:rRNA from 1 species